GCAACGAGCGCAACCCUAUUGUAGUUGCCAUCAUUCAGUUGGGCACUCUAGCGAGACUGCCGGUAAUAAACCGGAGGAAGGUGGGGAUGACGUCAAAUCAUCAUGCCCCUUAUGACCUGGGCUACACACGUGCUACAAUGGUUGGUACAACGAGUUGCGAGUCGGUGACGGCGAGCUAAUCUCUUAAAGCCAAUCUCAGUUCGGAUUGUAGGCUGCAACUCGCCUACAUGAAGUCGGAAUCGCUAGUAAUCGCGGAUCAGCACGCCGCGGUGAAUACGUUCCCGGGCCUU
rnacentral:rRNA from 1 species